rnacentral:rRNA from 1 species
UACGUAGGGGGCAAGCGUUAUCCGGAAUUACUGGGCGUAAAGCGCACGCAGGCGGUUCGCCAAGUUUGGAGUGACAGUUGUCGGCUCAACCGACAAAGGGCUUCAAAAACUGGUGAACUUGAGGACGAGAGAGGAACAUGGAACUCCAGGUGUAGUAGCGAAAUGCGUAGAUAUCUGGAAGAACACCAAUGGCGAAGGCAAUGUUCUGGCUCGUUUCUGACGCUCAGGUGCGAAAGCCAGGGGAGCGAACGGG